AGCAGUCAUCACACCAGAAGAAGGCAGCCACCCCUGAGAAGCCAGGAUUUUUGCUGGGGCAAAACAGUGAACAACAGCACAUAACAGGGAAACAGGUUGCCACCAGGGAGUUGAUUAGUGGCUCUAUAUUAUUCGCAUAUACAAGGAAGAGGAAAGAGCCUGAAACUGAGCCCUGGAAUACACCAUAUGUGACUGAUUCAUAUCUGGACUGGAAAUUAUAUCCUGAUCAUUGAUUUUGAUUUGCAAAGAAAUGCAUUGGAAUGGCAUGCAAGGAAUUAUUUCAUAUAAGUUAGAUACCCGCAACACCAAAAUCACAGAUUGGCUGCUUACAUCUUCUGAAGAAUCCAGUGCACUACAAGAGCUGCUUUGGAAGAUAA